UACAGAGGGUGCGAGCGUUGUUCGGAAUUACUGGGCGUAAAGCGCGCGCAGGCGGCUCUUUAAGUCUGAUGUGCAAAUGCCGGGGCUCAACCCCGUGCCCGCCAGGGAUACUGGAGAGCUGGAGACACGUAGAGGCAAGCGGAAUUCCGGGUGUAGCGGUGGAAUGCGUAGAGAUCCGGAAGAACACCGGAGGCGAAGGCGGCUUGCUGGGCGUAGUCUGACGCUGAGGCGCGAAAGCGUGGGGAGCGAACAGG
rnacentral:rRNA from 1 species